rnacentral:rRNA from 1 species
GACGAACGCUGGCGGCGUGCUUAACACAUGCGAGUCGAACGGAAAGGCGCUGCUUUUGUGGGGUGCUCGAGUGGCGAACGGGUGAGUAACACGUGAGUAACCUCCCCUUGACUUUGGGAUAACUCCAGGAAACUGGGGCUAAUACCGGAUAUGAGCUCCUGCUCCAUGGGGGUGGUUGGAAAGUUUUGGCGGUUGGGGAUGUACUCGCGGCUUAUCAGCUUGUUGGUGGGGUAGUGGCUUACCAAGGUUUUGACGGGUACCCGGCCUGAGAGGGUGACCGGCGACAUUGGGACUGAGGGACGGCCCAGACUGCUACGGGAGGCAGCAGUGGGGAAUAUUGCAGAAUGGGCGGAAGCCGGAUGCAGCAGCGCCGCGUGCGGGAUGACGGCGUUAGGGGUGUAAACCGCUUUCGCCUGUGACGAAGCGUGAGUGACGGUAAUGGAUUAAGAAGCACCGGCUAACUACGUG